AAAAAAAAAAAAAAAAACCAACAGAAUAGACGUCCUCAUAAUCAAACCCCCUCUAAUCAUAUUGCCACAUUCAAUAAGGAAUUCCAAAGAUCUUGCUCAUUAUUUUUCUCUUCUCAAAACGUCAGUCAAGUGCCGAUUCCAUCCCACCCCUGUUAAGUUGUGUUCCAGCGUCUUGAGUUUUCAUUUUCCUUUCAUGCUCCCCAGAUACUAAACUCGAUCUAGGUUGUUUUGUUUGUUGCAGGAGGCAAGGUUAAGCAGGUGAACGACCAGGUCUCGGUGGUCUGCAAGGGAGGUGAUGAUGGUGGUUGUUCUGCUUCUUCAAUUCAAAAUACACAAUAAAGACAAGAUUCUAUUCUUUUACUGCCGAUGCACUUCGAUGCGAACAAGAACGUGGUUCUGGAAAUAAAGAAAAGUGAUGAUUCUGAAGAGACAUUGCUUGAAAACAAAAGGCUUGUGGUGGAGGCAGUAGAAAAGCUGGUAAAACGGAAGAAGAGAUAUUGAUUCACAUGUUUCAACUAUUUAAAUUGAAUGUCAAAGGAUGAGCCAACCGCACUUGAUAUAAAAAAGGACCCUGAAAGCAUGUGAGAUGAUGAAGAUUGUAUAAAAGAUUCAUGGGAAGAUGAAGUUGAACCCUCUCUGUGGUAGCACCUCCUGUUGUGAAGGCCCUAAAGAAGUCAACAGUCAAACCGGCUCCAAGAAAAAGGGAUACCUGUUGUUGAAGUAGCAAAAGAGGUGCCAUUUUAAACAAGCUUUGUAUUUCAGGCUCGAGCUCGGGCUCAAUAACUAAAUGAAUAUGGAAGUAUAAAUGGCUUCAUAAAGUUUUGGAUUUAAUAUGUUGAUCGACUGUGCUCAGCGACUGUGGUUUCUUGACACAUACACUGGAGGAUACAGAGUUCAUCGCGAUAUAAAGGUAACUAAGCCAUUUAAUGUUGCUUUUUCUAAUAGUCUGUGGUGAUUUUACUGUUUAGAUUUCGGCAGCCUCACGCAACUCGAACUGGGUUCGUUGUUACGAUCAUUAGGCCUUACACCGAGCCCUGAUCAACUGGAUGCAUUGAUACAGAAAGCGGAUACUAAUAGUAAUGGUUUUGUGCAUUGAUGUUGUACUCAAUAGAGUUUUCGACCAGUCGGAAACCGCAAAUGCUCCACUUGGUUGGCCAUAAUUUGGUUGUUUUGCGUCAGUUUGUUUUGUCCCUUCGUAACUUGGCAAGGGUUUGAUCCGUAUAGGGAUUGUCAGAUCCAACUGACAGGUGCAGGCAACAAAGAUUAUGGGAGUCAUAAAGGCGAUUAUUUUCUCUGGAUCAAAACAAGGGCGGGAUAUGCAGAUCUGGAAUGGGAUAAAUGGAGAACUUUUAAUUUCAGCAAUUUCCCGAUGUGGAACAGAAUAUUGGGUUUGUGCAGAAGAAAAGGGAUGAUGUGGCAUUUUUAGUUUUUCACCGAAAGACCAUGAGUCUGUUGAUCAAUUUUCACUUAAGAACUUUUUUUUACAGUAAUUCUUAUGUAUUAGCUUUGUGUUUUAACCACUUCACACAACACAACAUUUGAUGACAUUUUUCAUGAUAGUUUAACCAUGGACUGGUCAAAACGUCCGAAAGCAUUAUCUUUUCAAACUAAUUUU
rnacentral:lncRNA from 1 species